rnacentral:rRNA from 1 species
CACGUAGGGCGCAAGCGUUGUCCGGAAUUAUUGGGCGUAAAGCGCUCGUAGGCGGUCUGUUGCGUCCGCUGUGAAAACUCGGGGCUUAACCCCGAGCCUGCAGUGGAUACGGGCAGACUAGAGGUAGGUAGGGGAGAAUGGAAUUCCCGGUGUAGCGGUGAAAUGCGCAGAUAUCGGGAGGAACACCGGUGGCGAAGGCGGUUCUCUGGGCCUUACCUGACGCUGAGGAGCGAAAGCGUGGGGAGCGAACAGG